AGGCAUCAUUUGGGUAACAGUGGGUUGCAUUAGGAUAUCUUUGGGUUAAAAAGACGCGCCCAGCACCCACGAACAGGCUGCAGAUGAUGGCCUUUAAAAAUGACAGGUGUGCUCCGUUACCUGUACCGGUGAGUAAAUCCUCCCCGCGGAAAUAAGUCGCGCCGAUGUCCACUACGCAUGCGCACUGAGGAAUAAAUGGCAGGAAAACACAAUAAUUUGGCUUAUCUUGUCCUAUUUUCUCAAUAUGUGAUCUCUGUGAAGGUUGAUAUUGCCUGCCAGAAAACAACACAUUAUACCAACAGCCUAAAAGAAGCAAGAACUGAAUGAAAAUCAAAGUGAGGUAAUUCUCUCUAAAAUCUCCCCCAUUCGUUUGUUCUAAAGCCUUCUCUGGAUUAAAAAUGUUUCUCUUGUGUUUGAUUGUUGUAUUAGAGACGAAAUGGGACAAGUAAAUAAUAGCGGUGAGUGAAAUAAAUAAUAAGUGUGAGCUCUGUGAGUUAUUUUGCGGCUGCGAGAUGAUUCCUACAACACGGCGGCCAGGUUCAAACGCCGAGAUAAGGGGCGGGUAGCAGGCCGGGCACUGGGCACUCUCUCCUCGGGUGUUUUGCGUGUGGUAUUGAUGUUAAGGAGGAAGGAGCCACGUAACAGUGUUCUGAAGGAGCCUCCAGCGUGAAGGGAUCCACUGGUACAGCGUCAUUAAGGGCAGCAUGGAGGUGGAGGUCAUCACUGGGGAGGUCAAGUACUCCCUCAGGGUACCACACCUGUCAACCUACACUGGGGACGACAACCUGACCACAGAGUUUUCCCUUUCCAUGGGCGGCCUGAGGUCCCGCUGGCAGGCCACCAUCCAGCCCUUCCUCCCCGCUAAGCCACACAAGCCACACGACAUGAACAGUGACGUGGGCAUCACCCUGACAUGCUUGAGGAGCAGCAUAGCAUUCCCACACAUUGAUAUAUCCUGCAACGUGGUGGGGCGGGGCCAGGCACACGAGAAGAAGCUGGAGCAGGUGGACGAGGGGACAUGGCAGGGGGUGCUGGUACCUCGCCUGGCCCUCCAUGUCUUUGAUCUCCUCCCCCAGGACACACUGACGGCCACCCUGCGCUUCAUAGUCAGGUCAGAUGAUGUGUGGAGGUUCAGUGACCCCUUAGAAGACCUGAGUGCUGAGUUACGGGACCUGCAAAAGGGGAAAUACAGCGACGUAACCAUUCUCACCACAGACGGGGUGGCCAUUCCUGCGCACAGUUUAAUCCUUCAUGCACGCUCGGACCUCCUACAAGGAACACCACGUGAGGUUAACCAUUCCCUAGACUCCCUUGAAGAGCACAUGACUCCAAAAACCAAGAGAGAACGACCUGAAACCCCUCUUGACAGCACUUUUGGAAGCGACCUGUUGUCACUGUCAGGGUAUCACUCACUCACGGCCUCAUCACUGUCAUCCUCAGCUGUUUCUAGUCCUUCAGAGUCCUCGUUACUGGGUGCUACAGUCCCUUCAGCUUCCCCCGUGGUCAGUAGCUGCACCCCAAGGCGUCGUUUCACCCCCACACACUCCACAGGGGACAAACGAAACCUAUCACCCUGCAAGUUCUCCUCCAGCAAGCGUCUCACCCCCAGAGUUACUUCAGCUUCCCCAGUGCCCAAUAACCCAACCCCAAGACGUCUCUUCACCCCCAUACACUCCACAGGGGACAAACGCAUUCUCUCACCCUGCAAAUUCUCCCCAAGCAAGCACCCCGUCCCCAGGAUCACCCCAAGCUCACCCCGACGGAGAGUCCUACAGAGGGAGAAUGAGACCCCAAGACGAUCCCCAGCCCCCCCUGUGUCCUGCCAGUCUGUGCACUCCUCCACCUCCGCCUGCAGCCCCUCCUCCAAGGCCCCACUGAAGGAGGUAGAGGUCAAUGUGCCGAGGUCAGUGGGGGGUCACACUCUCCGCCUGAAUAUGUCUGCCUCAGUGGCCAGAGCAAUGCUGGACUGGAUAUAUACAGGAGAGUGCAGUGAGCUGAGGCGCCUGGCCAAGCCCCUGCUGGUGGGAGGGACGAGGCAUGGCGUGGAUGGGCUGGUGGAGGCCUGUGAACAGCACCUGGUGGCUGCCCUCACACCCGCUGCUGCCCCGCACACCCUGCUGCUGGCCCACAAGUACUCUGCCGAUGCCCUGCUCGCUGCCACCAUGAAGUAUGCCGUCACUCAGGCGAAGGAGGUCACCUGUCAGCCGUCCUGGGCCACUGUAGCCACCACUGCCCCGGCCCUCAUCACAGAGUUUUCCCGCCUCUUGGCCCAACACUCCCACCCUGGCCGCAAAAGAUGACUCGACUAAGGAACAACAACUGAACAUGCACACACAUCCUUUGGGAUGAUUGGCUCAGAGAUGGGAGGAAGGAAGGCUGACACUGCUCCUGGCUGGGCACAUGUGUCAGCCCCACCCAGGUGUGCAUCGAGCCAUGGGGAAGGUGAAAUACUACCUGAAGCGCCUGGUGUUAUUCCCGGCCCUCAUCUUUAC